rnacentral:lncRNA from 1 species
UGGAGAUCACACCAGAAUCUGAAGACUGUGAGUUUCUCCUCUGUGUGUCUGUAUCUUGUAUUAUUAAGGGCCAUGCCAUUAACCCUACAACAGGUGAUCAAAGACUCAUUCAUAACCUGAUUUUGGAUUCUGGAAUCAUCUGGCAGCUAGCAUCUAGAGUGUGGAAGAACAAGGAUAUCCAAACAUCCGCAAACAGAUGAUUGAUGGCAGACCGGGUGAUAUGCGGAUUAAGACGCUUGUUAAGUCAAUUGAUGAGAUAAGUGAUGUGUGUGUGUGUUUAUUUGCUCAUUGCUUCACACAUAGACAAUAUUUACAUUUACAUUUACAAUAUGUCAAGUAUACUUUACUUCACAUUCUUAAUUCCCUCUAAUGCCUUUGUCAACCCCAAUGACCCAACAGCCAUGAGUAUGGAUUAUUGAUCAACACUCUAUUAUGAGGGUAAACUAAUGUUAAUAUAUUACUUUUCCCACUUCAUUGCAGCGAUACAUAGAUGUAGCACUUUGAGGUUACUGCUGGACCCCCAUCAAUGAUACAGACUACAGUCUGGUCCUGGUACUACUGACCAACAAUGAAUCCAGGCAGACCUGAGUGAUGUGAUGCUGCAGCUCCAGUGUGAGUACCACUGCCCACCCAGCGAGCCUCUGCCCCCCAUACACACCGACCUCCCUUAAGCUCUCGUCCAGGGUGUUACAAGGUUUGUAGGAAGGCUCAGCAUCAUCAAGCUGCACGUAGCGGCCUGGACCAGAGUUAGUCCUCUCCUUAGCGUCAACAUAACACUGAAGUAAUGGGUGGCUGAAGACAGUCCCUCUCUUUCAGUUGCAGAUCUUCAAUCUCUGCUGCCCAGCUCCUUUGAAUCAGGGGGACACGGGCUCCUGGCUCCCAGGGAAUAGUCAAGCGUUUGCACAUCUCGGACAACAACACACAGUUCCUGGAGAACUUCCUGUCUCUCAUGGUGGAGAUCACACCAGAAUCUGAACUCUAUGAGUUUCUCAUCUGUGUGUCUGUAUCUUGUAUUAUUAAGGGCCAUGCCAUUAACCCUACACCAGGUGAUCAAAGCGUCAUUCAUAACCUGAUUUUGGAUUCUGGAAUCAUCUGGCAGCCAACAUCUGGAGUGUGGAAGAACAAGGAUAUCAAAACCCAUCAGCCUAGAACAGCAUGAAGAUGGAACUGCUAAAAGAUCAUCUAUGUAAGGGCUUUGAUAGUCGCGUUGCAGGAAUGAGGCGCAGGAAGCAACGAACACAGGGAGUGGUGUUUUUAAUAACACUGAAGCAAAAACAAAGUUCCCAAGCACAGGGGAAUAAACACAAUGAGCGACAAUGCAAAGCCGACACGAACAAGAAGUCGACAUACAAUAAUCAAUCCCGCACAACAAGGAGCGGGCCAGCUAAACUAAAUAGCCCCUCUAAUGGCUAAUUGACCACAGGUGUCCAAAAGCAAAAAAAGGGAAAAGCAAAAGGGAAUCGGUGGCAGCUAAUAGGCCGGUGACGACGACCGCCGAGCGCCACCCGAGCAGGAGGGGGCGCCACCGUCGGUGGGAAUCGUGACAAUCUAGGAAUCCUCCCUUCCUCGUGGAGCUUUUUGAAGGCUAUGAAAAAAGACAAAAGACAUGACAUUGACUCCUGAGUGUUGAACUUUUGCCCACUCUGUAGCCUCCCUGGUUAUUAUAUGACCCUGAUGGUCAUCUACGAUUGUUGGAACGUCUUUAAUAACAAUAAGGGGCAUAUGUACUCUUAAAUGUCCACUCAGCACAGCCCUCGGAGCAUGGUUCCUCUCUAGUUUUAAUCCUAGGUUUAUGACUUCUAGGGAGUGUUUCCUAGAUGCUGUGAAUCGGCAUAUGCAUUGAUGGGUCUUAGAUUUUUAGACUGGGUAUCUGUAAAACACUGACAACUGCUGAUGCAAAAAGGGGUUUUAAGAAAUACAUUUGGUUGAUUGAAAGAUUUGUAUUAUUAUCAAAAUAAUAUAACAAUAGUAUUAUUAUAAUCAUAAUCUUUAUUAUUAUUAUGUUACAGGUGUGACAUACCCAGAAAUGUCAACGUCUUGUCAAGUGCUCAAAUCUGUACAGCAGCCCCAGACAAUCAUGUACAGUAGGUCCAAUUUACAAGAAUGGGUUUACAAGGCAGUGAUGAAAACAGUUUAUAUGAGCGCUAAUUCAAACAUACAAUGAUAUAUAUUCGAUACAAUUACCCAUUCAAAACUAGUGUUACAAAAUCACUUCUCAUUGUGUUCAUUUCAAGGUUUCACAAACAUAAAACAACUAUCUAGUUAAUGUUUCUUGGACUAACACACUGUUGAGUUUCCUAUUUACUGAAGAACAAUCAUUAAGACAAAACACAAAAAGUUGUAAUGUAAUCUGUAUACAUGUCAUUCUAUACUGAAAACAGGUACAUUCUGAAAGAUUUUGAUGAUGUUGAUGUGAUAACACAUCUUUUUAUUCAUGUCUCAAUUUAGGAUAAUAGUGUUUAUUUUAAUUUUACUUAAAUUGUAUUAUUUAUGUUGUCUCAUACCAUGCUAAUACACUACCAAGCAAUGCAAACAGAUGUGGAAUUUACCCCAUAACAGUUGUGUCUUUUUGGAUCAAGAAUUGAUCAAGAAUUCCAAUAGGCGUGAUCAGAUCCUCUUUCCAUGCAGGCAUCAUAUAAUGCACAGCCACAUGCAAAUCCAUAAACUCCACCAAUAAAACAUUGAAAACCUU